AAAUUGUAUCAUUCAAUUUGCACACCGUUGCAUUUUUUCCCUUUAAUUUUUGAUGGAGAUAUUUUUUUAAACCUAAUUUAACAAUAACUUUAUACCUGUUUGGAGAAACUGUAAUCUAAUUUAUGACCAGAGUUGUCCAAUGUUUGAAUGAACAUAUUGAAGCAAGGAAGAGUCAUGGGAAAAUCGUUGCAGCUAAUAGAAUGUGGACCGAAUUUGAUUUGAAAGUAUCAGUUGAGUCAAGAGAUUUCACCAAGAAAUCCUAUUUCGAAGAAACACCAUUUCUAAGACUGAUUCAAAGUUGAUUUAAUUGAUUGCGAUGACUGGCUGAAUCAACAAGUUUCAUCAAAAACUCAUAUCUCAAAGAAAUGCCAUUUGCAGUGGCGUAACUGGGUGUUUUGUUAAAACAGCAGAAAGCAAAAAAUUGAGUUGAAUAAAAUCAUUUGAUGGAAAUAUUAAACUAAAUAGUUAUUGUAUUGAUUUGACUCCAGAAAUCUCAAUGGACUCUAAUCGAAUAUCACUUUUUUCAGUUUAUCAUUUAUGCCCGCAAUUUUAGUCAAGAAUCAAUAUUUCCUCUAAAAAAACAUUCGCAGUAAGUGCGCACUUACUGAUUACUCAAUAAAUGCUGUAGUAUACUGUUAUUCACAAUGAUUUGAUUACACAAAAGUCGAUGGAACUUUUUAGUACAAAUCUACAAACUUUUUGUGAAUAUUCUACGCAGAGUGUCAUUUUCAUGCGAACAGUGCAAACCCAGCCGAGAGCUAUUUGUCGUACAAUUAGAUAGACGCAAGUCAAAGGUCACCUAUUGAGAUUAAGACGCACUACGGCAAGACAAGCACAGUUAUUCGUCGCAUUUAACAAACUGUUUUGCAUCGUGAUACAAUAAUUUGGUGAGAUGAAACUCAAAUUGUCCAUCAUAUUGUUUUUAUUCGUUCUCAUUUGCCAAGUUUACUAUUCAACUGCUUGGCCAUUUUCACAAGAAGAUGAUGACGUGCAAAUUAUCAUAGAAGAUGAUAAUGAAGAGCCGCAAUUCUGGCCCUACGAGGGAGAAUCGGUGGAAGAAUUCAGAGACUGGCUUGGAGUUUGAAGAUAUACAUAAAUGCAUUCAACGUUGAAGAAAUAUAUCAAGAGAAGGCUUAAGAGAAAUAAUCGAGAUUGAAUUAGUGUUUAAAGUGUAACAAAAGUAGAUGUAUCGUCGUUAUGUAGUUAGUUUGUGCAAGUUAAAAAGAAAUUGAAAUGAAAUAUCAGUACUGUUGACCAUAAAUCAAAGGUCAUUUGAUAACAAUGUCUAUCGUUUGAAAUUGUUUCCGAAUUCCGGCCAUCAUUCCAUUCCGAUAAAUAAAAUCUACUUCUUUCCCAAUCAGUAUAAGAGAGUAUUUUUUGCAGUGACAAUUUUCAGGUCUAGUUCAACAGUCGUUGGUAGAAGUGUUCAAAAAUGAGUUAUAAAAUUUGCUGUAUACUCUACAUUGUGGCGCUUAUUUGUCAAAUGUGUUCAACGGCCUGCAGUUCUGAAAAAAAGGAUGAUUUUCCCAUAGAUAAUGUUUUUGAAGAUAUUGACUUAUCAAAUGAUGAAACAGAGGAUGGGCAACCCGCACAGAACAUCAAGCGAAGCUAGGCGAAGAUAUCGAUUUUUCGAUUAUUGAAAAUCUCGAAAACUUUUUAUUACUUUAAGGAAAAAUCAUUCAUCGAAUGUUCUUCAAUUUUGGCUGUAAUUUAAAAUAUUUAUGCUUUUGCGAGGUUUUUUUGAGCGUAAAACAUUCACUAUGAAGUUUUUUCCUCCAAUUUUUUUUAUGGUUGGUCCGAGAAAAAAAAAUGUGAACACAUUCAAUUGGAAUGAUCAUGGUUUGUUCAUCAAUCAAGGCUUUGUUCAAUGAAAACGCUUUGAUAAAAAAACUACAGUUUGGUUGAAUCAAACAGAGAUCAAACACACAAAGGACAGCAUAAAUUGUGAAUACGAAAAACUAGACGAACCGGACAUAAUAAUAAUUCAAGUCAGAGUUGAAUUCGCAAGUGAGACUUUUUUUUUGGCAGCAUCAAAUUUUCAUUUCAAAUGCCGUUCAAUGAUAUUUAAUAAGGAAAGUUGUAUGCAUAAAAAUGUUCCAAUAAAAUUAUUUGUAGGUAAACUGAGAAUUUAAUAACCGAUAACGAAUAAUGUGUCAAAUGGAAUAGUAGACAUCGCAAGUUCUUUGAGAUUUGCACUCCUUCUUUUAUUGUCCGUUUUUAGCAAAGCAAAAGUCACACGACUUGUAAUUCCGUUUCAAAGUCUUUAGAGCUCAAGCGGUAUUAGUUCAAGCAUUCAAGUUCAAAUCAGUUAAGCGACAUUUUAGUUUCGUACGUCGAUACAUAAAAAUUUGAAAAGAGGAGCCGUGGAAACAACACCGUGAUCACAAGAGUUAUUUUUUAUAUCGAAUACAUGACUAUUACACGUGAUCAAAUUGAGCGUAUCAAAGGAACUUUGAAUCAAUUGGAACAUUUGGAUAUAGUGUAUUUGAAAUUCGAAGGUGAUUUCUACGAGGAUAUUCUCAAAAUUUGUCCCAAUUAAAAGUUUUUACGCAUAUUUUUUGGGAUGUUCAAACAGUAGGCAUGGAUAAUGAAUGGCUUCUUCGUCAUUAUUUAAAACUUGAAUCCGUUUGGUUUUUUGACAAUGAAAAUCGUAGAGAUGAAAUGGUUGAA